UACGUAGGGUGCGAGCGUUGUCCGGAAUUAUUGGGCGUAAAGAGCUCGUAGGCGGUCCGUCGCGUCGAAUGUGAAAACCCGGGGCUCAACUCCGGGCUUGCAUUCGAUACGGGCGGACUAGAGUUCGGUAGGGGAGACUGGAAUUCCUGGUGUAGCGGUGAAAUGCGCAGAUAUCAGGAGGAACACCGGUGGCGAAGGCGGGUCUCUGGGCCGAAAUUGACGCUGAGGAGCGAAAGCGUGGGGAGCAAACAGG
rnacentral:rRNA from 1 species